UUUGUAUUGGCCAUGGUUGCAGGAUGUGAUGACCAUGGUCCCUGAGGGCAGCUGGCGCCGGGACUCAGAGCACCUUGAGUCACUUUCUGUCCUUCUUUCCAUCCCCUCUCUCCAUCUCCUGGUCCCCAUGUCAUCUUUUCUUUGCUCUGUGAUUUGCUUACGCUUUGGGUUCUCAUGGGAGAGACGCUUGGCAGGGUUUCAGCCUGCAUCUUCUGCUUCCCCUUGCGCAGGGCCGGGUGACACAGGUGUGCAUGGCUGUCAAGCCCACCGAUCCUGUGGUGAAGACACAGUCUGUGGGUUCCCCGAGGUGCAGCAAGGACGCCUCAAUUUUAAAGGUUGAACCUCUCAGUUUUACAAAGGAGAGAGGAGCACUGGAUCCUGUGGUUAAUUCAGUGUGUAAAAGAACUCUAUUCCUGUAUGCAUUCAAGAAUCCCUCAGCCAAUCAAUAAACACUCGCUGGGCCUGGCUGCGGUGCA